AUUGAACGCUGGCGGCAUGCCUUACACAUGCAAGUCGAACGGCAGCACGGGUGCUUGCACCUGGUGGCGAGUGGCGAACGGGUGAGUAAUGCAUCGGAACGUACCAUUGAGUGGGGGAUAACGUAGCGAAAGUUACGCUAAUACCGCAUAUUCUCUUCGGAGGAAAGCAGGGGAUCGUAAGACCUUGCGCUCUUUGCGCGGCCGAUGUCGGAUUAGCUAGUUGGUGGGGUAAAGGCCCACCAAGGCGACGAUCCGUAGCUGGUCUGAGAGGAUGAUCAGCCACACUGGGACUGAGACACGGCCCAGACUCCUACGGGAGGCAGCAGUGGGGAAUCUUGGACAAUGGGGGCAACCCUGAUCCAGCCAUGCCGCGUGAGUGAAGAAGGCCUUCGGGUUGUAAAGCUCUUUCGCGAGGGAAGAAAACGUACAGGUUAAUACUCUGUGCGGAUGACGGUACCUUGAUAAGAAGCACCGGCUAACUACGUGCCAGCAGCCGCAGUAAUAC
rnacentral:rRNA from 1 species